AGUCGAUAGUUGGCCUGAGUGUAGGGCCUUCUGUUGUAUUCCACUGCUAACC
rnacentral:sRNA from 1 species